CUCCAGAGGACCUCACAGGGUUUGAACCUGAACACAGGUGACUGAAUAUUCCAGCAUCGGAUGGAUCUCAGCCAGCAGCUCAAAUGGUCUCAGAGUCUCAUCAGAAGAACGCUGUGCAGGGUCUGAAGCUGGGUUUAUAUUUUAUUUGGCAUAAUACACCAUGACAGCGACGUGUUCUUCGGCCACCUGCACGCCUCAUCAUGGACAAGUGCAUGUGUCUGCUGGUGUGGACUUGGAGAACAACAUUCUGGGACUUCCCCACAGGCUGCGACCAGCUUUCAGACAAUUUAGAAAGAUUAAAAUGAUGCACAGCUAAGUGGGAGAUUCACAGAUGGAUUUUCUUUCUUGUAUGUUCAAAUAAAGCCUUGUAAGCUAACAAGUAAUUUCUCUCUUUGAUUACUAACUUACACAGUGAUUAUGAUUAAAGCAAAUCAUCUUAGCCCUGUAAAAUGCAACUGGUUGCUCCAAAUUGUGUAUCAAUCACC